UUGAAGACAACACAUCCAGAUCACUUUCAACCACAAGGGAGCUAUUUUAGGGAUACUGGUCUUAUUUUUAUUCUGAAGCAAAAGUCCAAAUUAUAGACCACACAUACUCUCAACUGCUUCCUUAACUAAGAAAAGCUACAUUUAAAGCCCAAGAUAAUCACAGGAGAUGAUUAAGCUAGCAAUGAGGGAGAGAGAGGGAGAAGAGAUUGCUUUGACCACCAAGGGUCCCAGGAUGCUAGAAGACCAUGUCCAGAGACUAUAUGUCUAUUGUUUGAAGCCAACCUAAAUAAAUUCAUGGAGG